rnacentral:rRNA from 1 species
GGAAUAUUGGACAAUGGGGGCAACCCUGAUCCAGCCAUGCCGCGUGCGUGAAGAAGGCCUUAGGGUUGUAAAGCGCUUUCACUGGUGAAGAUGAUGACGGUAGCCAGAGAAGAAGCCCCGGCUAACUCCGUGCCAGCAGCCGCGGUAAUACGGAGGGGGCAAGCGUUGUUCGGAAUUACUGGGCGUAAAGGGCGCGUAGGCGGCUUCGCAAGUCAAAGGUGAAAUCCCUCGGCUCAACCGAGGAAUUGCCCUUGAAACUGCGUGGCUUGAGGCCGGGAGGGGGUAGCGGAAUUCCUGGUGUAGCGGUGAAAUGCGUAGAUAUCAGGAGGAACACCGGUGGCGAAGGCGGCUACCUGGACCGGUUCUGACGCUGAUGCGCGAAAGCGUGGGGAGCAAAC